rnacentral:misc_RNA from 1 species
UUAACUCGUUUAUGGGUCUCGGAGAUGCCAACGCGAGAGACAGAGUAGCGGGCCACCGGCGGGCGGAGCGCCCCGGCUGGACCGGGGCACCCGCCGAGGCAACGACUUUAGGUAAGUUCACAGUGGUUACGGGAGUCUUGCGAGUCCUAUAAUGAUCCCUCCGCUGGUUCACCUACGGAAA